AUUAUCGGUAGUUUACUACCGUUUGAAGGGGGUGGAAAGUUUCCAGGGCUUCCUGGGGGUGAGUACAUCCUAUUCUUAACCCUUGACUUUUUGCGCACUCAUGUUUCCUCGGCGGGCUUGCCUGCCGAAUGGACAAACCAAUAACCUAUUUAAUAUUUAAUCAGCGUCUGAAUUAUUUUAAUAAUUACAACUUUCAACAACG
rnacentral:misc_RNA from 1 species